GUGCUCAUUGAAGUUGUUGCCGUUACUUACGAGGAGCCCCGCCCUCAUGAAACAGAUGAGGGAGAUGAUGUUAGCAGGUGUUGUGUUGAAGCUAAAAUAAAAAUAAAAUCUUCUAUUGAUAGUGUCAGUGCCUCUAUUGAUUGCUCUUUUAGUUGAAUUUUAUAGUAUUCAGGAGGUUGACUUGACCUUUGUGUGUUCCCAUGACCUUUUGACCCCUUAAACUGAAGCACAUAUCAUGACCCAUAGGAUUGACCACACCCUCUCUCUGCCUCUCGGACUUUUUUGCAUUCCAACAAAACCACAGGAUAGGCAGCAUAAAGGUCUUGUUGGAUACUUUGUCAUUGGGUUUGAGGUUCCCUCUUAUCCUGUGUACUUCAGUACUAGUCCACACGAUACACCCACUCACUGGCGUCAGAGGAUAUUCUUCCUCAAUGAACCCAUACAAGUUCAAACAGGUCCUUUAUUGUGUAGUAGUAGUAUCAGUUGCUUUAAGAACAAGGAUUCUUAGAUUACUCGAUAUCAAGAUAAAGAUUUCCACUCUUUUAAGAAUUUCAAGUAUUAUACAAGAACACAUACACACACUGUUAUUGUGCUUUACAAAUUCUUCUUGCUUAAUACCAUAUAAGAUGAAAUGUUGAUGGGGAUUUUAAAUUGGCGGAUUGACGGAUUUAUAUAAAAUUGCCAAAAUAAAAUCCGCAAGCAAUAAUUCCAUUCAUGUGUGUGACCACACCCACAUUAAUUU
rnacentral:misc_RNA from 1 species